AUGGCUUCCUCCCACCGCCUCUUCCCCGCAAGCGCCCUCGUCUCCCCGAGUGCCACGCGGAGCCGCCGCUCCAAUUCCUACUCCUGCGCCCCUCGCCUCCAGUUCACCAAGCGCAACAGAUGCAGCGUGCUGAGGCUGUGCAGCGCACGCCCUAGCGCUCCGGCCCUCAACCAGUGGUGGGCGUCCGAGCUCACCCCGGAGGAUCUACCCACGGAGGAGACCGACGGGCCGACGACCGGGCACGGCUGGGAGGAGCUGGUGGCCAUAUGGAACGCGCUCAUCGCCGAGCCCCUCCGGCCCGUCCUGCUCGCCUUGCGCGAGAUCAGGGACCGCGGCCACUUCUUCCGCUGCCGCAGCUACCACGCCGGGGUCGUCGCUGGCCCAUUCUUGAUGAUUGCUGGCUUCUGCCAACUCCGUAAAUUAGUACCAACCCUGUUCGUGGAUAUAGUUCUUGGAUAUAUAUUCUACAAGUUAAGUGUCCUUGCAGCAGAACUGAGAAGAAAUGGGAAGGCGAACCAUUUGUGUGCUCGUAUACAGCUCCUUCUCUUACUUAUUUUGUCAUUCAAGGAUAACAACGCUUUCUGGGAUGCUUACCGCCUCGUCACCGAGUUGAUCUGGUUCAUUGCUCUGGACGUGUACUUAGUAGCUGUCACCUUUGAAAUUAUCGACGAGGAGGAUCCCAGACCCGAAAUGCUAGGAAUUUACAAGAUACUAAAAACCAAAGGGGGCCUGAUGAGGGUGAUAAAGAAUUGGAAUGUGAAAGAUGAGUAG
rnacentral:rRNA from 1 species